UCGAGCGAGUCUGCCUUGAAGAUCGGAGUGCUUGCACUCUGUGAAACAAGAUACAGGCUAGCGGCGGACGGGUGAGUAACACGUGGGUAACCUGCCCAAGAGAUCGGGAUAACACCUGGAAACAGAUGCUAAUACCGGAUAACAACAGAUGAUGCCUAUCAACUGUUUAAAAGAUGGUUCUGCUAUCACUCUUGGAUGGACCUGCGGUGCAUUAGCUAGUUGGUAGGGUAACGGCCUACCAAGGCGAUGAUGCAUAGCCGAGUUGAGAGACUGAUCGGCCACAUUGGGACUGAGACACGGCCCAAACUCCUACGGGAGGCAGCAGUAGGGAAUCUUCCACAAUGGACGCAAGUCUGAUGGGGCAACGCCGCGUGAGUGAAGAAGGGUUUCGGCUCGUAAAGCUCUGUUGUUGGUGAAGAAGGACAGGGGUAGUAACUGACCUUUGUUUGACGGUAAUCAAUUAGAAAGUCACGGCUAACUACGUGCCAGCAGCCGCGGUAAUACGUAGGUGGCAAGCGUUGUCCGGAUUUAUUGGGCGUAAAGCGAGUGCAGGCGGCUCGAUAAGUCUGAUGUGAAAGCCUUCGGCUCAACCGGAGAAUUGCAUCAGAAACUGUCGAGCUUGAGUACAGAAGAGGAGAGUGGAACUCCA
rnacentral:rRNA from 1 species